rnacentral:rRNA from 1 species
AUUGAACGCUGGCGGCAGGCCUAACACAUGCAAGUCGAGCGGAUGAAGGGAGCUUGCUCCUGGAUUCAGCGGCGGACGGGUGAGUAAUGCCUAGGAAUCUGCCUGGCAGUGGGGGAUAACGUCCGGAAACGGGCGCUAAUACCGCAUACGUCCUGAGGGAGAAAGUGGGGGAUCUUCGGACCGCACGCUAUCAGAUGAGCCUAGGUCGGAUUAGCUAGUUGGUGGGGUAAAGGCCUACCAAGGCGACGAUCCGUAACUGGUCUGAGAGGAUGAUCAGUCACACUGGAACUGAGACACGGUCCAGACUCCUACGGGAGGCAGCAGUGGGGAAUAUUGGGCAAUGGGCGAAAGCCUGAUCCAGCCAUGCCGCGUGUGUGAAGAAGGUCUUCGGAUUGUAAAGCACUUUAAGUUGGGAGGAAGGGCAGUAAGUUAAUACCUUGCUGUUUUGACGGUACCAACAGAAUAAGCACCGGCUAACUUCGUG